GUAGACGUUAGCUCAGUGGUUAGAGUACAGGCCUCUGGCUCUCGGGUCCGCGAGUUCGAGUCCCGUCGUCUACU
rnacentral:tRNA from 1 species